GGAUGCGAUCAUACCAGCACUAAAGCACCGGAUCCCAUCAGAACUCCGAAGUUAAGCGUGCUUGGGCGAGAGUAGUACUAGGAUGGGUGACCUCCUGGGAAGUCCUCGUGUUGCAUNCC
rnacentral:rRNA from 1 species